GACGAACGCUGGCGGCGUGCUUAACACAUGCAAGUCGAACGGUAAGGCCCUGCUUUUGUGGGGUGCUCGAGUGGCGAACGGGUGAGUAACACGUGAGUAACCUGCCCUUGACUUUGGGAUAACUUCAGGAAACUGGGGCUAAUACCAGAUAGGAGCUCCUGCUGCAUGGUGGGGGUUGGAAAGUUUCGGCGGUUGGGGAUGGACUCGCGGCUUAUCAGCUUGUUGGUGGGGUAGUGGCUUACCAAGGCUUUGACGGGUAGCCGGCCUGAGAGGGUGACCGGCCACAUUGGGACUGAGAUACGGUCCAGACUCCUACGGGAGGCAGCAGUGGGGAAUAUUGCACAAUGGGCGGAAGCCUGAUGCAGCAACGCCGCGUGCGGGAUGACGGCCUUCGGGUUGUAAACCGCUUUCGCCUGUGACGAAGCGUGAGUGACGGUAAUGGGUAAAGAAGCACCGGCUAACUACGUG
rnacentral:rRNA from 1 species